AUGAAGAACGUAGCGAAAUGCGAUAAGUAGUGUGAAUUGCAGAAUUCAGUGAAUCAUCGAAUCUUUGAACGCACAUUGCGCCCCUUGGUAUUCCAUGGGGCAUGCCUGUUCGAGCGUCAUUUGUACCUUCAAGCUCUGCUUGGUGUUGGGUGUUUGUCCUUGCUCUAGUGGCGGGACUCGCCUUAAAGUAAUUGGCAGCCAGUGUUUUGGUUUUGAAGCGCAGCACAAGUCGCGAUUCAAGUCUAUACGCUAGUUUCCACAAGUCUUUUAUCACUUUUGACCUCGGAUCAGGUAGGGAUACCCGCUGAACUUAAGCAUAUCAAUAAGCGGAGGA
rnacentral:misc_RNA from 1 species